rnacentral:rRNA from 2 species
GUCGAGCGAACUGAUUAGAAGCUUGCUUCUAUGACGUUAGCGGCGGACGGGUGAGUAACACGUGGGCAACCUGCCUGUAAGACUGGGAUAACUUCGGGAAACCGAAGCUAAUACCGGAUAGGAUCUUCUCCUUCAUGGGAGAUGAUUGAAAGAUGGUUUCGGCUAUCACUUACAGAUGGGCCCGCGGUGCAUUAGCUAGUUGGUGAGGUAACGGCUCACCAAGGCAACGAUGCAUAGCCGACCUGAGAGGGUGAUCGGCCACACUGGGACUGAGACACGGCCCAGACUCCUACGGGAGGCAGCAGUAGGGAAUCUUCCGCAAUGGACGAAAGUCUGACGGAGCAACGCCGCGUGAGUGAUGAAGGCUUUCGGGUCGUAAAACUCUGUUGUUAGGGAAGAACAAGUACGAGAGUAACUGCUCGUACCUUGACGGUACCUAACCAGAAAGCCACGGCUAACUACGUGCCAGCAGCCGCGGUAAUACGUAGGUGGCAAGCGUUAUCCGGAAUUAUUGGGCGUAAAGCGCGCGCAGGCGGUUUCUUAAGUCUGAUGUGAAAGCCCACGGGUCAACCGUGGAGGGUCAUUGGAAACUGGGGAACUUGAGUGCGAAAAGAAAAGCGGAAUUCCUCGUGUAGCGCUGAAUGCGUAAAAAUGUGAAAAAACAAAGGGGUGAAGGCCGCUUUUUUCUCCUCUGCUACGGACGAUGAGCGAAGAAGGGGGAGGAGAAACUUUAUAAGUUUGUGAGCCACCCCGCAGUAACGAUUAGUGGUUAGGGGUAGACUGCCUCUUUCUUUUCUGUCUCCACUUCCCAAUUUGCACUCGGGCGGGGAGGUCGGGCGUAGAUUUAACCUUAAAGAAAUGACGGGGGCGCGUACAUGUGUAGCAUAAUGAUUCAGAAUAGCGAGACCACAUAAAAACUACCGGGCUUUGGCUUCCUCUGACACACUGGU